rnacentral:rRNA from 1 species
UACAGAGGUCUCAAGCGUUGUUCGGAUUCAUUGGGCGUAAAGGGUGCGUAGGCGGAUUUGUAAGUCAGGGGUGAAAUCCCGGGGCUCAACCUCGGAACUGCCUUUGAUACUGCAAAUCUCGAGUCCGGAAGAGGUGAGUGGAAUUCCUAGUGUAGAGGUGAAAUUCGUAGAUAUUAGGAAGAACACCAGUGGCGAAGGCGGCUCACUGGUCCGGUACUGACGCUGAGGUGCGAAAGCGUGGGGAGCAAACAGG